rnacentral:rRNA from 1 species
CCUACGGGAGGCUGCAGUGAGGAAUAUUGGUCAAUGGGCGCGAGCCUGAACCAGCCAAGUCGCGUGAGUGAAGACGGUCCUAUGUAUUGUAAACCUCUUUUGUCGGGGAGCAAAAGACGCCACGCGUGGCGUUCCGAGAGUACCCGAAGAAAACGCAUCGGCUAACUCCGUGCCAGCAGCCGCGGUAAUCCGGAGGAUGCGAGCGUUAUCCGGAUUUAUUGGGUUUAAAGGGUGCGCAGGCGGAAGAUCAAGUCAGCGGUAAAAGUGCGUGGCUCAACCUCGUCUAGCCGUUGAAGCUGGGGGUCUGGAGUGAGGGAGAAGUAUGCGGAAUGCGUGGUGUAGCGGUGAAAUGCAUAGAUAUCACGCAGAACGCCGAUUGCGAAGGCAGCAUACCGGCGCUCAACUGACGCUCAGGCACGAAAGUGUGGGGAUCGAACAGGAUUAGAUACCCUUGUAGUC